UACGUAGGGGGCAAGCGUUGUCCGGAUUUAUUGGGCGUAAAGAGCGUGUAGGCGGCCAUACAGGUCAGCUGUGAAAACUCGAGGCUCAACCUCGAGACGUCGGUUGAAACCGUAUGGCUAGAGUCCGGAAGAGGAGAGUGGAAUUCCCGGUGUAGCGGUGAAAUGCGCAGAUAUCGGGAAGAACACCCGUGGCGAAGGCGGCUCUCUGGGACGGUACUGACGCUGAGACGCGAAAGCGUGGGGAGCGAACGAG
rnacentral:rRNA from 1 species